CAGAGGAGGACAAGAGACUUCCAGACAGAAUGGAGGGACGAUUUGGGUGACAUCUGAGACGCAGUCGCACAUCAACAAGCAGCCGGGCUCCGGGGAUAUGGCGGCGGCCUCUGUGGUCUCGGUGCUGCUGAUGGCGACUGAGAGGAGCCGGUGGCAGCGCCUCCGUAGCCCGCUGCUGCGGCGGAGGUAACGGUCGCGCUCUGGGGCGGGGGAUGUUUGGCCUGCCAGCGCCCAGAGAGGUGAGGAGGGGGAGGAGGAGCAGAGAAAAGAAUCCGCGAGACCCGGAGUUCUGCUUUCAGUCCCACCCUGAAAGAUUACUACUGUUGAUGUUGAAGCAGAUAAAAAUGCUGAGUCCAGGCAUUAAAGGUCAAAUCCACAAGACUUACCAGAAAGUAAAUACAAGUAUUCAGGUUGGGUUUCUUUCUGCCUUAAUGUCAAUCAGUAUGUUGGAAAUAAUCAAGAAGUUCAAAUUCUGAUGAAGAAGGAAGAAUUGACCCAUGAAAUUGUCAACAUUUCAUAAUAUUUUUGAAAAGGGAAUUGGCAGUGGAGGUUGAUUUGGGAGAAAAGCUGUGGCCAUAAACAUUGAAGAAGACGAGCAGAUUCUUUGUGACAUUGAGACUUUCUACAGUACCACAGUGGAGGAAAUGCCAAUGAAUGUGGCUCACAGCACUCACUCUUGUGGACUAGGUGAUAACAAUGUGCAUUGUGCUUUUUUCUUUGGGGGUAUUUGAAGCUUGUCUCAAAGCUCAUAACGGAUCAGAAAUACAGAUUUUGAUAGUAAUGCUACUCUUGCUCAUGAGCUCAUAUGAGGAAGGUCAUUGGGUUUAUCUUCUUUAGAAUUAGAAUAAUGGACUUGGAUAUUAAAGGUAGGAUUGUAAAAGUCAUUCUUAGAAGUUUAUUUCCUAGUUCUGUAAAAAUGGUUACCCUGAGCGUUCUCUGUCAUCUAAUACUAUAUUUGUGGCCUGGACAAUAUGUGCUGUAGAAAAGAAGCCAAUUCUAUUAAGCUAGUGUAUCUGCUUUUAUUGUGUAGUCAUUAGACUGAAUAGAACAAACUUGAAAACAAACUUGAUUUUUUUUUAAAGUAUUUGAAUUC